GACGAACGCUGGCGGCGUGCUUAACACAUGCCAGUCGAGCGGAAAGGCCCUUCGGGGUACUCGAGCGGCGAACGGGUGAGUAACACGUGAGUAACCUGCCCUAGGCUUUGGGAUAACCCCGGGAAACCGGGGCUAAUACCGGAUAUGACCUGGUGCCGCAUGGUGUUGGGUGGAAAGUUUUUUCGGCCUGGGAUGGGCUCGCGGCCUAUCAGCUUGUUGGUGGGGUGAUGGCCUACCAAGGCGAUGACGGGUAGCCGGCCUGAGAGGGCGACCGGCCACACUGGGACUGAGACACGGCCCAGACUCCUACGGGAGGCAGCAGUGGGGAAUAUUGCACAAUGGGCGGAAGCCUGAUGCAGCGACGCCGUGCGAGGGAUGAAGGCCUUCGGGUUGUAAACCUCUUUCAGCAGGGACGAAGCGUGAGUGACGGUACCUGCAGAAGAAGCGCCGGCCAACUACGUG
rnacentral:rRNA from 1 species